AAAACUCUUCCCGUAUCGUUUGUUAUGUUAUCUAGAAACCGUGCACUUGAUAUGUAUACCCCCUUUUUGUUACACCGUGUAUAAGACCUAAUUAACAUAAAAUAAGGAAAACCUGAAUACCCACGAUGCCACAACAGAAACGACAAAUUUAAUUUAUUUGAGGACGACAUUAUAAGAUCAUCUUUUAUAAUAACAACUCGUGCGCAGCUAAAUAAAUCAUGAAGAUACUUUUUAAUUUGUUUCUAAUCUUCGUGCUAAGCAUUGUGUUGACAAGUGCGCGAACGAAUAAACGCGGUAGGCGUCCGGCCGUUCAGAAAUGUGCGCACCGGACGGCACCGGCAUCAAGUGUACACCACUCAUACCACAGACGAAAUACAAAGAUAUUUUGACAAAACAAAAAAACGAAAAUUAUCAAAACGGCGCGGACAUGGAAACGAAAAUCUGAAAAUUAGUUUUAAUUUUAAAUAAAUAUUUGGGCAACAUAA